rnacentral:rRNA from 1 species
CCCGGUGAUAAUUUUAACGGCCGCAGUUGGAAGCUGUGCUAAGGUAGCGUAAUAAGUUGUCCUUUAAAUGAGGAAGUGAAUGAAUGGCUUGACGUAAGAAAUUCUGUCUCCAAGAAAAUUUAUGAAAUUUUCUUCUUAGUGAAAAGACUGAGAUUUAAUUAAAAGACGAGAAGACCCUAUUGAGCUUGUAAUUAUUAGCAUAUAAGUGUGUUAAAAAAGUUUGGUUGGGGUAACCAGGGAGUAUAAAUAACCUCCCUUAAGUAAUAGAAAUCCAAAAUUUUUGAAAAAAGAAAAAGUUACCGUAGGGAUAACAGCGUUAUCUUUUCUAAGAGAGCAAAUUGAAGAAAAG